rnacentral:rRNA from 1 species
GAUGAACGCUAGCGGCAGGCUUAAUACAUGCAAGUCGUGGGGCAGCAUGAGUAGCAAUACUUGAUGGCGACCGGCAAACGGGUGAGGAACACGUACACAACCUUCCUUCAAGCGGGGAAUAGCCCAGAGAAAUUUGGAUUAAUACCCCAUAAUAUAUUUGAUAAGGCAUCUUAUUAAUAUUAAAGCUUCGGCACUUGAUGAUGGGUGUGCGGCUGAUUAGAUAGUUGGCGGGUAACGGCCCACCAAGUCUACGAUCAGUAGCUGAUGUGAGAGCAUGAUCAGCCACACGGGCACUGAGACACGGGCCCGACUCCUACGGGAGGCAGCAGUAAGGAAUAUUGGACAAUGGACGAAAGUCUGAUCCAGCCAUGCCGCGUGAAGGAUUAAGGUCCUCUGGAUUGUAAACUUCUUUUAUAUGGGACGAAAAAAGGGCAUUCUUGUUCACUUGACGGUACCAUAUGAAUAAGCACCGGCUAAACUCCGUGCCAGCA